GACGAACGCUGGCGGCGUGCUUAACACAUGCAAGUCGAACGGAAAGGCCCUGCUUUUGUGGGGUGCUCGAGUGGCGAACGGGUGAGUAACACGAGAGUAACCUGCCCUUGACUUUGGGAUAACUUCAGGAAACUGGGGCUAAUACCGGAUAGGAGCUCCUGCUGCAUGGUGGGGGUCGGAAAGUUUCGGCGGUUGGGGAUGGACACGCGGCUUAUCAGCUUGUUGGGGGGGUAGUGGCUUACCAAGGCUUGGACGGGUAGCCGGCCUGAGAGGGUGACCGGCCACAUUGGGACUGAGAUACGGCCAAGACUCCUACGGGAGGCAGCAGUGGGAAAUAGUGCAAGAUGGGCGGAAGCCUGAUGCAGCAACGCCGCGUGCGGGAUGACGGCCUUCGGGUUGUAAACCGCUUGCGCCUGUGACGAAGCGUGAGUGACGGUAAUGGGUAAAGAAGCACCGGCUAACUACGUG
rnacentral:rRNA from 1 species